UCCUGGCUCAGAAUGAACGCUGGCGGCAGGCCUAACACAUGCAAGUCGAACGGAUCCUUCGGGAUUAGUGGCGGACGGGUGAGCAACGCGUGGGAACAUACCCAAAGGUACGGAAUAGCCUCGGGAAACUGGGAGUAAUACCGUAUGUGGUCGAGAGACGAAAGAUUUAUCGCCUUUGGAUUGGCCCGCGUUGGAUUAGGUAGUUGGUGGGGUAAUGGCCUACCAAGCCGACGAUCCAUAGCUGGUUUGAGAGGAUGAUCAGCCACACUGGACUGAGACACGGCCCAGACUCCUACGGGAGGCAGCAGUGGGAAUCUUAGACAAUGGGGAAACCCUGAUCUAGCCAUGCCGCGUGAUCGAUGAAGGCCUUAGGGUUGUAAAGAUCUUUCAGAUGGGAAGAUAAUGACGGUACCAUCAGAAGAAGCCCCGGCUAACUCCGUG
rnacentral:rRNA from 1 species